rnacentral:misc_RNA from 1 species
CACAAACUAUUUAACAAACAUGGACACACGCGAAAGAAACCGCCAGCACGGGUCACAUGGGGUAAGUGUUUUUUUAAUGGAAACUGCUCAUCCCACUGUCUGGCGUAAAGUCCCAUUGAGGGGUCGAGAGAGGAUCCGCUUUUCUCUCCUCACACCUCUCCCUCCAUGGUUGCAAAAGACGCCAUGGAGAAUUUGACAGACAAUACACCCAAUCUAUAUGCCCGCUUUCUAUACCUUAACCGCUUGUCACGGCUUCCCCAGGCGCCGCCACCUUGUGUGGCGGGCGCUGACGGAACCGUGGGAAG